rnacentral:rRNA from 1 species
CCUACGGGAGGCAGCAGUGAGGAAUAUUGGUCAAUGGGCGAGAGCCUGAACCAGCCAAGUCGCGUGAGGGAGUACUGCCCUAUGGGUUGUAAACCUCUUUUGUCGGGGAGCAAAAGCCGGACGUGUCCGGCUGUGAGAGUACCCGAAGAAAAAGCAUCGGCUAACCCCGUGCCAGCAGCCGCGGUAAUACGGGGGAUGCGAGCGUUAUCCGGAUUUAUUGGGUUUAAAGGGUGCGCAGGCGGAUUUUUAAGUCAGCGGUAAAAUCGUGGGGCUCAACCCCAUCCAGCCGUUGAAACUGGGGAUCUAGAGUGUGCGAGAGGUAUGCGGAAUGCGUGGUGUAGCGGUGAAAUGCAUAGAUAUCACGCAGAACCCCGAUUGCGAAGGCAGCAUACCGGUGCACAACUGACGCUCAGGCACGAAAGCGUGGGUAUCGAACAGGAUUAGAUACCCGAGUAGUC